AGUAUUCAAGUGCCACGUGGAACCAUACGGAAUGCGGUUGAAAUGGUUUGGAGCAGUGAGACCAAUGAAAUUGUUCGGUUUUCUUAGACAUAUUUGAUAUAUCAUCUAAAAAUGAUGAGAUUCAUCAUUUGUAUUCAAAAAACAAAAUCAACCAUCCACGUUGGCAACGACUUUCAAUCUUGUCAGUGAAGCGGCAAAUUAAAGAAAAACAAACUUUCUCAUUAUCUGAGACAGGAAAGAAAGUGCAGUCACAUCAUUAUGUUGGUAUUAUUACAUUCCACCACAUUAAAUUGAGUUUUGUAAUUGAAAAUGACUGAACGAGGAGCAGAGAAUAACAAACUAGUUGAAGCUACAUAUAGAUGGAUGUUGAGAGAUACAUAUUCAGACGUCAAAGACGACAACGGUAUUCGCUUUCAACAAGUUUAUCUGACCUACGUGCUCCAACGAUCCUACAAAUUUUAUUCAAAGUCUUGAAACAAGAUGCAGUCCACACGAUUCGCCAUUCCUCUCUUCAUGGUACUAAUCUUCAUUGUUUACCAAGCUUCGUCAUCUCAUGGUUUCAGUGAUUCUGUUGCUAAUGAUUUCGCCGAAGAAGUAGAAUCUGCUGAGUACGGGAACGUGGAGCUUCAGGAAUCUCUUGAGCAUGUUGAGGAAAGAGAUGAUUGUAAAAUGCCCGGUUUGUGGUGUGGCUAGGAGAUAUUGGAGGACCGAAUGGGGACUUGGAAUGGGAUUAUGAUUGACAUAUGUCAUAAUGUCUUCAAUCACAAUGUAUAAUCCUGAAUGCAUUCAUGCUCCACCAUCCAAAUCCUCAGUACUGCAUUAAGCAAUGUCAUUAUUUUGAAUCAGUGUUGUCAAUCACGAAAUAUUAAUCAUGUUCACUAUGACAAACGAGUACGAUUUACAACAUUACAUUGCUUUUUUUCUUCAAAUCAAUAACAUCAUUAUCUCGAUCAUGCCACUCGUUAUUAUUGUUGCAGACCUACAAAUUUUCAGCUUAAUUACAACAUUAAUUCUUUUAAAUACACAGACGCCCGAAUAUUAUUAGCAAAAUUGACAUGGAAACACGUGUUAUGCAUUAAAAUGAUAUAGAAAGACGAAAAGUUAUGUAUUUCUUGUCAUUUCACAUUGUCAUAUUGCCGACGUGAAUAUUUUGUUCAACUAACAUUCUGGUGUGUGCUAACGUAUAAAGUAUUCCAAUGUAUCGCCAUCUAAUGCGCAAACUUUCACAGUGUGCUGAUAUGGUACCACAUUCAUGCCUUUAAUUCUAUAGCAUGGUAGUGAGAUAUUUUUUAAAAAAUGAUCAAAUUUCAGACAAACCUAAAGAAUACGCCUGUUGCCGCAAAAUAAUAACUUUAUACCUACUGGGAAUACUUGUGUGUGUGUGUUGACGUGGGUAUGUGAGCGAGUUGUCAUGAUGAUCUACUUCUUGGGAAAUUUUCUUGCAUUUUACCCAUCAACCGGGGACGUCCUAUACCCCUGGGGACGUCCCCGGUCCGUAAAACCAUGCUUAUAAAUCUCAUAUUCGAUGGCAGAUUACUAUGGGGUGAGGGUGUGUGUGGGUGUGUGAGGAUGUGAAUGUGAGAGGGUGUUGGUGUGGAUGUGUGAGCGAGUUUGUAAUGAUCUACUUCUUGGGGAACUUUCCUACCCUCAGGAACGUCCCCGGUUGAUGGGUAAAAUACACGAAAAGUUCCCAUCUCAUUUCAAACCGUUUCAUCCAGUGAAAAUUAUUCAUAGAAAAUUCCUGUUCUGCUAGUUAAAUUCAGGUUGUGUGUGUAGGGGGAUAGGAAGUGUCCCCAGUUAGUAUAUGCUCACGUUAUGUCCGCAAAUGAGUCGGGUGAUUCAUGGACCUAUUACAAAUAAUAAUUGAUGGGUGUCAGCUGCCAGCGCUCUGUUUAUAAAAGGAUUAGCGGUGACGGUCUUCGGCCGAAAGGAGGGGAUUCGUUGAAUGUCCAUUUGUAAUAGGUCCAUGGGUGAGUGGAAUAAAUUCAAUUUUUUUUUUGGCGAAUGAUUCUCCGAUGGUCAAAUUGCAAUUGGGUGUAUGUGUGUGAGUUUCGUGGUCAAGCGGUCUAUAGCCACCAGACGCAUAAGUCCGGAUUUCAAUCUCCGUCCAUGGCACCUAUGCUCUUAAGCAAGACAUUUAACUCUUGCAGUUCCAAGGAGUUUCAAUCAAACUAAGCCGGCACAUCUUUAAUCGUAACUUCAUUGCAGACAUUGCAGAUAAAAAAAAAGUUGUGGAAAAUUUAGUAUUCUUUCAAGAGAUACCUAAUUCUCGAACUUUACUUCAUUUUAAGAUAGAUUAUUGUGAAAUAUAAAUGAGUUUCCCUUUUCUCUAUUGUUUUUUUUUUGUUUGUUUAUCAAUUGCUUACUAUCAGUUCAUGGUAAAUUGAGAAUGGGUCCUUCCCCAAUAUUCAUUCUUCAAAAGAAAAAUCCAAUGGUAACAUAUAGGACUAUUGACUGAAAUAUUUUUAACUAUUCGAUUUAUCCUGAAUAGUCUGAUGUUUUUUCACCACAUAUUUUCAUUUUUUGGGGGGUAAAAUGUGUUUGAUU